rnacentral:rRNA from 1 species
UACGUACAAGCAGUGGGAGCCUUGAUUUAUCAGGGUGACUGCGUACCUUUUGUAUAAUGGGUCAGCGACUUAUAUUCUGUAGCAAGGUUAACCGUAUAGGGGAGCCGUAGGGAAACCGAGUCUUAACUGGGCGAAUGAGUUGCAGGGUAUAGACCCGAAACCCGGUGAUCUAGCCAUGGGCAGGUUGAAGGUUGGGUAACACUAACUGGAGGACCGAACCGACUAAUGUUGAAAAAUUAGCGGAUGACUUGUGGCUGGGGGUGAAAGGCCAAUCAAACCGGGAGAUAGCUGGUUCUCCCCGAAAGCUAUUUAGGUAGCGCCUCGUGAACUCAUCUUCGGGGGUAGAGCACUGUUUCGACUAGGGGGUCAUCCCGACUUACCAACUCGAUGCAAACUACGAAUACCGAAGAAUGUUAUCACGGGAGACACACGGCGGGUGCUAACGUUCGUCGUGAAGAGGGAAACAACCCAGACCGCCAGCUAAGGUCCCAAAGUCAUAGUUAAGUGGGAAACGAAGUGGGAAGGCUCAGACAGCCAGGAUGUUGGCUUAGAAGCAGCCAUCAUUUAAAGAAAGCGUAAUAGCUCACUGGUCGAGUCGGCCUGCGCGGAAGAUGUAACGGGGCUAAACUAUGCACCGAAGCUGCGGCAGCGAUAUGUAAAUAUUGUUGGGUAGGGGAGCGUUCUGUAAGCCUGUGAAGGUGUACUGUGAGGUAUGCUGGAGGUAUCAGAAGUGCGAAUGCUGACAUAAGUAACGAUAAUGCGGGUGAAAAACCCGCACGCCGGAAGACCAAGGGUUCCUGUCCAACGUUAAUCGGGGCAGGGUGAGUCGACCCCUAAGGCGAGGCAGAAAUGCGUAGUCGAUGGGAAACGGGUUAAUAUUCCCGUACUGGUGAUAAUUGCGAUGGGGGGACGGAGAAGGCUAGGCUGGCCGGGCGACGGUUGUCCCGGUUUAAGGAUGUAGGCAGGUGAA